rnacentral:rRNA from 1 species
UACGUAGGGUGCGAGCGUUAAUCGGAAUUACUGGGCGUAAAGCGUGCGCAGGCGGCGCCGCAAGUCAGGCGUGAAAUCCCCGAGCUUAACUUGGGAAUGGCGCUUGUGACUGGCAGGCUGGAGUGUGGCAGAGGGAGGUGGAAUUCCACGUGUAGCAGUGAAAUGCGUAGAGAUGUGGAGGAACACCGAUGGCGAAGGCAGCCUCCUGGGCCAACACUGACGCUCAUGCACGAAAGCGUGGGGAGCAAACAGG